rnacentral:misc_RNA from 1 species
AACUGGAAAUUCGUCUGCUCACUCACAGUCACAAGUCAACAACAUUUCAACACCUCACCCAUCACUUAGCAGUUAGCAGUUACUUUCAGUUCAAAUAAGAUUACUUUGCACUCUAAACCUAUUUAUAGCAUUUCCGACACGGCAACAACUACAGCGCACUUUUUGUCACCAAUAUCACCAAUAACCGCCUUCUUCAUCUUAUUGAAUAAAAUACUAUGGAGAUGUGUAAAAAUUAUCUUACGGCUGCAGCCAACUUGAAAAUUGAGGGCAUAGUUAAUGAUAUCAACAGCGGUGAUGAAAACGAAAUAAUUACUGCACUCCGUGCACUUAAGAUUUUCACCAAGAAAUGUUAUUGGGGCAAAAGAGGCAUCCAUAUCAAUGCAGAUUAUUCAAAUGUUAUUCCCAAGCUGGUUCAAUUCCUCAGUAGUGUCGACAAACCUGAUCUUCAGAUGGAUUCAGCCGAGGUUCUCACCAACAUUGCGUCAGGCACAUCUGAUCAGGCCAAAGCAGUUGUCAGUGCUGGGGCUGUGGCUGGGAUCAUUUCUAUGGCGUGUUCACUUGAUCCACGUGUGGCUGAGAGUGCUGGUUGUGAUCUCGCAUGGCUUGCCUCAAAAAGACAAGAGCUAUGUGAGGAAAUCAUCAAGCCGUUGCUAAUGUUGAUUAAACCCGACUCUCCAGUUACAUUAUUGCAAAGAGUCAUAUACGCUUUGAUCACCUUUUGUCAAUUUAUCAAUAUAAAUCCACCCACUUUCAUUCUUCCCGCCCUGGCCCACAGUCCACCCACUUUCAUUCUUCCCGCCCUGGCCCACCUUCUCCACCACAACGACGAGACGAUCAUCACCGAUGCUUGCCAUGCUUUUAUUUAUUUUCAAGGCUCCGACGAAGUAAUUCAAGAAGUUGUCAACGCCGGAGUCGUCCCUCGGCUCGUCGCUCUAUUGCAAGACAGAGAAGUUGCCAUCGUCCCCUGUCCGAAUCAUUGCGCGAUCUUCUCCAUUUUGAGAACUAUCGGCAAUAUUACUUCAGGCACAUUUGAUCAAGCCAAAGCUGUUGUAAGUGCUGGGGCUGUUACUCCCUUAAUUUCUUUUUUGGGUUCACAUCGAGAUGUGGCCGAGGAAGCUCUAUUUGCUCUCAGUAAUAUUGCCGGUUUUGGACCAGAGCUUAGAAAUUGUGUUUUCGAGCAAGGCAUCAAUAGGCCUUUGCUCUCAUUGAUUAAACCCGACAGUCCAGACAUAAAAUUAUUGCGCAUGGUCACUUGGACUUUGUGCAGCUUAUGUCAUAGUCAUGAGGAGAGUCCACUUACUGUCCCUGUCAUUCAACAGCUUCUUACCGGCCUGGCCCAUCUUAGCCACCACAACAACGACGAUGAAAUUCUCACCGCCGCUUGCAAGGCUCUUUCGAACCUCGAGAUGAACAUCGUUGAGAACAAGAAGGCAGCCGCAAUCGAAUCUGACAUUACUGCCCUCAAUGCCUUAAGUUCCAAAACGCUGGCUAUACUGGAGCGGUACUUAUUCCCCACAGAAUUGUCCAAUGGAGAGUCCAAGUUGGCGCCAUCAACAUCGUAGAUAGAGUGGCAAUUACGAAUUCAGAAACCAGCCAUCUCAAGCCCCCUGAAGUUUUUAUGCAUGAGAAUUUGUAUGUAUUGUUCACUUCCUUCAACGCUAUCUUCAUCAUAAGUUUUGGCCUUUUAAAGUUUCAUUUCCCACAUUGCAUUUAAAUCGCAAGUUGCCAUUUGCUUUCAUUCAUGUCCAUGCACGAUCUUCUUUCCUCUUUCUCAAUGCGCGAUAAACGAGCAAUACAAAACAACUCGAUCAAC